GAGACGAUUGAACAACAAACAUUUAUAAUUUUAUGGUUUUCUUUCUUUCUCUCUAUCUCUCUCUCUUCUCCCUGUCUUUUCGAUUGGUUUGUGUCAAAGUAAAUAAAUUGAUAAAGCCUGGAAUCGAAACUUGUUCGUUCGAUAGCGGAACCAACCCUAAUUAAUGGAUCGAUUAGAAGAAACCCUAAUUUCAGAAGAGGAGGAGGAAGAAGAAGAUGUCGAUUUCAAUCCUCUUCUAAAGGAAACCCCUUCCCGUGAAGCUUCUUCCAGUUUGAGCUCUGAUGUCGAAACUCUCGACGCUGAACCUGUCAAUAGCAUUGCGCCAAGCUUAGACGGCGGCGUCAGGGAAGAAGCAGCUAAGGAGGAAAUCGCGGCGGUGCAAGUCGAAUCAAUCCCCAACGUCUCUCCCCCGCAAGGCUCGAAGGAGGAGGAAGAAGAUGACGCAAUCUGCAAGCGAACCAGAGCUCGGUACUCCCUCGAGAGUUUCACUCUUGACGAUCUCGAGGCUUUCCUUCAGGAGACUGAUGACGAGGACGACAUUCCAAACGUUGAUGAUCAGGAGGAGUACCGCAAGUUUCUCGCCGCCGUUUUACACAGUGGAGACGCCCCCGAGGUUCACUCGGUGCACGAUGAUGACGAGGAUAACGACCUAGACUUCGAGAUUGAGCUCGAGGAAGCGCUGGAGACUGAUGACGACGAACCUAUACCUGAAAAGACCACAGCUGAUGGCGUCACCAAGCAGCGGCGUGUGACUAGGCAGAAGAGAAAACAAAGCAUCUCUAGAAUCGAUGAUUCUCCUGAGCAGGCUGCGAGAUUGUUACGCCCUAUCUUGCCAGUCGUACAGCCUGUGAGGAUGUUGCUUCCUGCUGCUCCUGAAUCGCUUGCUUCUUCGUCGGUUAACAGCAAAGGAAUUGGCUUCACUCAAUCCCAAAUUGGAGAGUUGCAUUGUUUGAUCCAAGACCACCUUCAGCUUCUCAUCCAGGUUUACUCUCUUUGUGCACUUGAUUAUUCACGCCAACAGAUUGGCACCCAGGUUCAAGGACUUAUCUCUGAGAUGAUCCAACAACACCAAGGAUAUGUUUCACGCCAAAGUCAUCUUCUUGUCUCUCGUUCCGCAUCAUCUGUGAUGAAUACUGUGAAUCUAGCUGGCAGAUAUCUAGCUGAUGUUUCUACCGCUGUUCAAGAUUAUCGAAGGUGUCAAGUGGAAUCCGGUUUUGAUGCUUUGUCUCAAAGAAUGCCAUUGUUUCCACUUCCUCUCCAGCACAUCAACAAUCCUCCUUCUAUGUCAUUAUCACAUCAGCAGCAGUGUAAGAAGACGUUAGCUGCUACAAUCGUUGAAUCGGCCAAAAAGGAAUCUGUUGCCUUGGUCCAUAAGGAUAUCGCCAAGUUAGCUAAAACAUUCCUGCCCUUGUUCAAAGUAUCGCUAUAUCCCCACAAGCCACCUGCUGCAGCUGUUAGCAAUCGGUUCCUUUUCACUGACGCUGAGGAUGAAUUAUUGGCUCUUGGAAUUAUGGAAUAUAACUCAGACUGGAAGGCAAUAAAGCAGCGCUUUCUUCCAUGUAAAGGCGAGCAUCAGAUUCAUAUUCGGCAAAAAAACCGGAGAUCAUCUAAAGCGCCAGAUAAUCCAAUUAAGGCAGUUUUGAGGAUGAAAAGCUCUCCCCUGACCCCGCAAGAGAUAGAACGUAUAGAAGAGGGACUUAGGUACUUCAAAUUUGAUUGGAUUUCGGUGUGGAAAUUCAUUGUGCCUUAUCGAGACCCAUCCACACUGCCAAGGCAAUGGCGCACUGCCCUUGGAAUCCAGAAGUCGUAUAAGCUCGAUGAUGUCAAAAAGGAGAAGCGGCGAUUAUCUGAUUCAAAGAAAAGAAUGUCCAGAGAGCAGCCGGCAUCUACAAAAGAGGACCGUCAUGGUGCUUCUAAGGCCAAUGAAAAUCAUGUUGGACAUGAAUUGGUGGAAAAUUCAGGUGACACAUACCUUCAUGAAGGAUUUUUAGCAGACUGGAGGCCUGGCAUGCCAACUCUCUUUUGUUCUACAUCCAUGCACUCCUUUGGCAAUGCAAAGAAUGUUCCCCGCAAUCAGCCAGUACAAAUAUGUACUGGUGAAGGGUCUAAAACUGCGCAAAUUCUCACAGAUACGCGGAUGCUGGCACCCGGUACCUCAAGAGCACCGAUAAUUAUGCAUUCAUAUCAUCGUGCUCGUAAACUACGCAACAGAAGUGUAGUAAGACUAGCCCCUGAUUUACCUCCACUUAACCUUCCAUCUUCGGUACGUGUUAUCUCACAGUCUGCUUUUGCGAAGAAUCAGUCUGUAACAUCCUCCAAAAUUUGUACGACUAAAGGUGGCAUGUCUAGUGAUUCUGGGAAGGGAGUUUUGGCUACGGAGCCUCCUUGCCUCUCAGCUGACGGAGAUAGCAAUGCCCCCCCUAGCGAGAAAGAUUUGCCUGCAGAGAGCUCCUCUGGGAUGGGCGAGACAGACAAUGACUCAGAUCUUCAAAUGCAUCCUUUAUUGUUCCGGACCCCUGAGCAUGGACAAAUUUCAUGUUACCCUUCAAACAGAGACAAAGGAGGUUCUAGUGCCUUUAGUUUCUUUUCUGACAAUCGACCUCAGCUGCUGAGUCUUUUCAGCAGUCCGAGGCAGAUCAAUCACUCAGCUGAUCAGUUUCAGAAAAAAGCAUCAUCAAAUGAUCACGAGCCAGCACUGGGGGACAGCUGUUUUCAUCCUCUUCUUCAAAGAACUGAGGGUGAGACGAGUUACCUUACUAGUGGGCGUGGGAACUUAGACACAAAUAUUGGCAAGAAACGCAAAUUAUGUCAGGAUACUUCUAGUGCUGUUGAGAAGACUUGUAUCCCUGGUACUGCUCGUAAUGAUGUCAUCCUGAAAUCUGUCAGUUCUAACAAACAUGAUAAAAAUGUGAACUCAGAUAUCAAUCUAAGUCCGAGAUCUUCUAAAGUAAGAGAUCGUGGUAGUGUCUCAGCAGCAAAUAUUUCAGAAUUUGCAGACAAUUCUAUGAAUCAACGUGAAGAUGGCGCUGAAAUGCCUGGAUCAACUGCUACUAGUGAUAGAUGCAUUGACGAGAUGGGUGAUCAAUCUAAUCUAGGUAUAGUGAUGGAACAGGAGGAAUUAAGUGAUUCUGACGAAGAGACGAUGGAAGAAGAACAUGUCGAGUUUGAGUGUGAAGAGAUGGCCGACUCAGAAGGGGAAGAGGGCUCUGAGUGCGAAGAAAUCAUUGAAAUGCAAGAUAAGGAUUACAGAAGCUCUGCAGUAGAAGUGGCUUCAACAGAUGUCGGUUCUGGCAAAGAACUAGGCAGAGAUUCUCCAAGCAGUCCUUGGUUAAGUCUAGAUCCCAGUAGCCGUCCCUCAUGUAGUAAGGUUAGGGACACAGGGAAGAAAGAACCCGCAGAUAAAACGAACAUGACACAAUUUGGUUCUAGUAGAUCACGCAGAAAGAGGACACCAAUAAAGAGCAGAGAUGCAGAAUCAAAGGAAGACGUAGGUGUUGCUCGGUUGAGACUGGGUCCUCUUUCGCCCUCCCUUCAGUGAAGAAACCAAGGAAGUGUGUCGAAGAGGCAGAAACAAGUCCAAGUGUAUUGCAUGUCAAGCAAGUAGUUGGUGGCAACACGACAGCCUUACAAUGUGUUCUUAACACUGAUAUUGAAACAGCCAUGCUGUUGGAAGAAGAAACUCAAAUACCGGCCAAGCAGGAUUACAGAAGCUCUGCAGUAGAAGUGGCUUCAACAGAUGUCGGUUCUGGCAAAGAACUAGGCAGAGAUUCUCCAAGCAGUCCUUGGUUAAGUCUAGAUCCCAGUAUCCGUCCCUCAUGUAGUAAGGUUAGGGACACAGGGAAGAAAGAACCCGCAGAUAAAACGAACAUGACACAAUUUGGUUCUAGUAGAUCACGCAGAAAGAGGACACCAAUAAAGAGCAGAGAUGCAGAAUCAAAGGAAGACGUAGGUGUUGCUCGGUCGAGACUGGGUCCUCUUUCGCCCUCCCUUCAGUGAAGAAACCAAGGAAGUGUGUCGAAGAGGCAGAAACAAGUCCAAGUGUAUUGCAUGUCAAGCAAGUAGUUGGUGGCAACACGACAGCCUUACAAUGUGUUCUUAACACUGAUAUUGAAACAGCCAUGCUGUUGGAAGAAGAAACUCAAAUACCGGCCAAGCAGAGAGAUGGAAUCCACAACUUAGGAUGAAACGCCUACCCAAGAUACAGCUGAAGGAGAUCUGAUGUCACAAAGGCUUGAAGAAAUAUACAAAAGGCUUGAUGCGAUUGAUGCUUAUACUGCUGAGGCUCGGGCAGUUAGUAUCCAUCCUUGCUGGGCUCAGUUUCACUCCAGAAAUGCAGAAGAAAUCUACAAAUAGAGGACGGAGGAUGUGAAUUUGUUGUUGUUUGAUGAACCUACGGUGUGUUUGCUUUAUGAGCUUCUCCAGUUAGCAAAAUCUGUUUUCAGCUUAGAUUUCAAAUUUCUGAGAUUCCUUUCCUCUGUAUUGGAAGAACCAUCUUGAGAUUCCAAGCCUGCCAGCAGUGGUGCUCAUGUGGAGCAAGUUAUUAAGGAUCCUGAGAAAGCGAAUCCCUCUUAUAGAUAUAUUGAAUGCUGCUAUAGUCUCUGCUAUAAAGUUCCACCCUCGAGAGUUUAACCGAGAAGAAAUCGUCAUAAAUAUUGAAUUCCCAACUGCUGACUAUCAGUUUCAGUGAUGCAUCUUCUGUAUACCCUGGUGGUCCGUUAUCGUUUAGGAACUUGAAUUUCAGAAUAGAUCUGGGUAGCCGUAUUGCAAGUACCAAGGCUCCCCCCCCUCCCUAGAUUAUGAGAUUUCAGAGAUGAUAACCCUUAAUUUCUGAGGGCAUUUUAAGCUUAUUGCAUCUCGCCAAAAACGCUUGCAAUAUCGAUAUCAACAUGUAUCAAACCAUUUCUUAAUGGGAAGAUACCAUUAUUAGUUGGUGCUAUAAAAUAACGAUUAUUAGA